GGUUCUUUUGGACAUUAGUCGGCCAUCUUCCCUCUUGCUAGCAAGCUGGAGUAAAUUGCCCUUUCUCUGCCACCAUCUUGCGUCUUGACGAUUGGCUUUUGUCUCACGGUGAGAAGUGAGAAGAUGGUGCCCUUUGUGAGGUUGCUGGAUUGUAAAACUGGAAAUGCAAGUUUAUCUCAACUGGUCCUCUAGCCUAAAAACUGACAGAAAGACACUGAUAGCAAAGGGGCCCACAGUGAGAAAGAACGUUUUCCUUAUCCACAACCCAAACAACAGGAUCAGAAGGACUUUUCUUAGUUCAAAAAUUAGUAAAAAGAAACAAACUAAUAUGGCAUCUGAGAAAGUAUUUUAUAGCUAAGAGGUGAAAAGUUGAGGUGCAGAGGGGAGAAUUCUUCAGGAAAAUAUUUAAUUUAGAAAGGAGGACAAGUUCUAGAAAGCAUCUGCAAUAUAUUCUCAAUAUAAUUAAGGCAUGGACUUGAAGUAAGAGAUGAAUGUGGGUGACAAUACAGCAGAGAUGAUGAGGUAGGUGGAUGAUGAGCAGUCAUAAACGGGGAUUAAAAGAUAAGGAAAAGUUUAGUUGCAGAGUUUAAAUCUUCAAAAAUUCAUAAAGCACAAUCAAACCUGCAUAAAAUCAAAUCAGUGAUGUGGAGAGAAAAUUUGAGAAAGUUUCCCAGAAUGCAAAGGAAAAGGUAUAGGAUGAAAAGGAUGAGAGAAAAAAAUAGUAGACGUUGAGGAGAGAGGUAGGAGGCCCAACAUCAGAUAAUUGGUGACGGUGAGCGAGAUUGGAUGCAACGCUCAGAGAUGUCAGGGGAUGAAACAGAAGGAUACUCCUGAUCUGAGGAAGAAAACUAGCAUCAGGAAAAUAUAACGUUAAAAAAAUGUGUCCACCCUGCAAGAUGGCCCCCAAAGGAUCUCUGCCUGCUGGUGUUCACAUUGUAUACAGGUAGGUCUGUGUGACCAGUGGAAUAUGGCAGAAGUGGUAGUCAGUCACUUCUGAGAUAAAGCUCAUAAAGACACUGUGGCUCUGUCUUGGCUGUUCUUCUUCUCUCUCUCGGAUCACUCUCUGGAGGAAUCGAGCUUUCAUGUCAUGAGCAGCCUUAUGGAGAGGCCCAUGAGGGGAGGAGCCGAGGUCCUUCUACCAACAGCCAUGUGAGGACCCUCCUGCCCCAGCAAACCUUCAGACAGUGUAUUUGGUCAUUUUUAAACAAAUCUUCAACCUCUUUUAUAGAGCGCCACGUUAAAGAUCCUUUUCCAGAAAUGCUUAGCAAGGUGGACCUCAGUUGACUUUCACACUCAAGGCAUUGUUGCCUGCGAGAGGACACAAUGAACUGAACUCAAACUGAAACCAGAGAGUCAAAGAGCCACUGUGGGAGUCUUUACUGGUUGGCCUCAAAGAGUGAGCAGGGAAGGGGAGUGAGCAGUCCAGCACAGAGAG
rnacentral:lncRNA from 1 species